GCUUCCCUCUUUCUUCGUGCCUAAUACAUGCAAGUCGAGCGAACAGACGAGGAGCUUGCUCCUCUGACGUUAGCGGCGGACGGGUGAGUAACACGUGGAUAACCUACCUAUAAGACUGGGAUAACUUCGGGAAACCGGAGCUAAUACCGGAUAACAUGUUGAACCGCAUGGUUCAACAGUGAAAGACGGUCUUGCUGUCACUUAUAGAUGGAUCCGCGCCGCAUUAGCUAGUUGGUAAGGUAACGGCUUACCAAGGCAACGAUGCGUAGCCGACCUGAGAGGGUGAUCGGCCACACUGGAACUGAGACACGGUACAGACUCCUACGGGAGGCAGCAGUAGGGAAUCUUCCGCAAUGGGCGAAAGCCUGACGGAGCAACGCCGCGUGAGUGAAGAAGGUCUUCGGAUCGUAAAACUCUGUUAUUAGGGAAGAACAAAUGUGUAAGUAACUAUGCACGUCUUGACGGUACCUAAUCAGAAAGCCACGGCUAACUACGUG
rnacentral:rRNA from 1 species